rnacentral:rRNA from 1 species
UACAGAGGGUGCGAGCGUUAAUCGGAUUUACUGGGCGUAAAGGGUGCGUAGGUGGUCACGAAAGUCGGAUGUGAAAGCCCUGGGCUCAACCUGGGAACUGCAUUUGUGACUGCAAGACUAGAGUACGGCAGAGGAGGGUAGAAUUCCACGUGUAGCAGUGAAAUGCGUAGAUAUGUGGAGGAAUACCGAUGGCGAAGGCAGCCCCCUGGGUCGAUACUGACGCUCAUGCACGAAAGCGUGGGGAGCAAACAGG